UACGUAGGGGGCUAGCGUUGUCCGGAAUCAUUGGGCGUAAAGCGCGUGUAGGCGGUUCGGUAAGUCCGCUGUGAAAGUCGGGGGCUCAACCCUCGAAUGCCGGUGGAUACUGUCGGACUAGAGUACGGAAGAGGCGAGUGGAAUUCCUGGUGUAGCGGUGAAAUGGCGCAGAUAUCAGGAGGAACACCGAUGGCGAAGGCAGGUCUCUGGGCAUUACCUGACGCUGAGGAGCGAAAGUGUGGGGAGCGAACAGG
rnacentral:rRNA from 1 species